AUAAGUUCAAUCUUGACUUUACACUAGCUCUAGCGUUCUUUACAUCACUUUAUGUUGCAAACUCAUGCAAUCACAUUCUUUACAUCUUCAUUACUCUUGCUAAUUCUAGCAUUCUUGUUCGUUACAAUUCUUGUUCUCGUUGCCCCACUUUACUUUAAUUUUACACGUUGUCACUUUCUUCAUUCUUUACCUCACUUUAGUUCUUUACAUCACACUAACUCUAGUGUCAUUUCACAUUAGCUUUA
rnacentral:lncRNA from 1 species